GGUGGUAGUGCAAAUCUCCUCCAUUCAUCAGGUCCAGAAUGAAACAGAGUUUGUCGGGGGUGUGGAAGGCAUAGGUCAUACACACUAUGAAAGGGCAGUCUCCCGUACUGACAAGAGACAGCAUAAUUCUUUCAUUUAAGGCUAAUGUUUCUCCUUGCUUCAUCUUGAUUCUCUUCUUAUCUAAACAUUUCAUUGCAUACAUUUUUCCAGUGUCUGCUUUUCUGCACCCGUACACUUCACCAAAUCCC
rnacentral:lncRNA from 1 species